rnacentral:tRNA from 1 species
UCCCUGGAAGACUAGUGGUUAGGCCACAGCGCUCUCAUUGCUGUAGCCUGGGUUCGAUUCCCGGCCAGGGAA